rnacentral:rRNA from 1 species
GACGAACGCUGGCGGCGUGCUUAACACAUGCAAGUCGAACGGAAAGGCCCUGCUUGCUGGGUACUCGAGUGGCGAACGGGUGAGUAACACGUGGGUGAUCUGCCCUGCACUUCGGGAUAAGCCUGGGAAACUGGGUCUAAUACCGGAUAGGAGCCAUUUUUAGUGUGAUGGUUGGAAAGUUUUUUCGGUGUAGGAUGAGCUCGCGGCCUAUCAGCUUGUUGGGGGGGUAAUGGCCUACCAAGGCGGCGACGGGUAGCCGGCCUGAGAGGGUGGACGGCCACAUUGGGACUGAGAGACGGCCCAGACUCCGACGGGAGGCAGAAGUGGGGAAUAUUGCACAAGGGGCGCAAGCCUGAUGCAGCGACGCCGCGUGGGGGAUGACGGCCUUCGGGUUGUAAACUCCUUUCGCUAGGGACGAAGCUUUUUGUGACGGUACCUAGAUAAGAAGCACCGGCUAACUACGUG